rnacentral:rRNA from 1 species
UAAUCACUUUAAUGUGAUGAUAAAAAUAAAUCUUAUAUAUAAUGUAAUAUGGAAUUUUAAUAUUAUUAAUCCAGUUAAAAAUUUUAAAGCUAAGUAUGAAAAUAUAUUUUAGAUAGUAUAAUAGCUUAGGUAAAUUAGGUGCCAGCAACCGCGGUCAGACUUAAUAAAUAAAUUUAUUGCUUGUAUUUUUAAACAAAACAUUAGAAAUAUUAAAAAUACGUAGUGAAAUACUUUUUUUAAUAUUUAAUUAUUACUAACAAAAAUUUUUAAAUCUUAAUAUAAAACUAGGAUUAGAUACCCUACUAUUUUAGACUUAUCAUCUUAAUUAAUAAGAAGUAAAACUAUAUAGUUUAAACUUAAAAAUUAUGGCGGUUAUUUUAAUUUUUAGGGGAACUUACCAUAUAAUUGAUAACCACCAAGCUUAAUCUACUUAUUUUAAAAACAUGUAUACCGUUGUCUUCAUAGUUUUUUUAAAAAAAAACUACUAACUUUAGUUUAUAAAUAAAAGAUAAAUCAAGGUGCAGUAUAUUAAUAAGAACUAAGGUGAGUUACAAUAAACAUUUACUUCGGAUUAGUGUAUUUAAAUACCUAUAAAGUUGGACUUAAAAGUAAUAUAAUAAAUUUUAUUAUUAAAUAAUGAAUUUAUCUACAAUAAUGCA